UGGGGGAUAUUGCACAAUGGGCGAAAGCCUGAUGCAGCGACGCCGCGUGGGGGAUGAAGGCCUUCGGGUUGUAAACUUCUUUUGCUCUGAACAAGGCAUGCCUUUGGGGUGUGUUGAGUGUAGGGGUUGAUUAGCGCCGGCUAAGUACGUGCCAGCAGCCGCGGUAAUACGUAGGGCGCGAGCGUUGUCCGGAAUUAUUGGGCGUAAAGGGCUUGUAGGUGGCUGGUUGCGUCUGUCGUGAAAGCUCAUGGCUUAACUGUGGGUUUGCGGUGGGUACGGGCUGGCUUGAGUGCAGUAGGGGAGGCUGGAAUUCCUGGUGUAGCGGUGGAAUGCGCAGAUAUCAGGAGGAAUACCGGUGGCGAAGGCGGGUCUCUGGGCUGUUACUGACGCUGAGGAGCGAAAGCGUGGGGAGCGAACAGG
rnacentral:rRNA from 1 species